rnacentral:rRNA from 1 species
AGCUAUAUGUAUUAAUAUAUAGUUAUUUCUGCUCCAUGAAUAUUAAAUAGCCGCAGUACCCUGACUGUGCAAAGGUAGCAUAAUCAGUUGGCUUAUAAUUGAAGUCUGGUAUGAACGAAAAUAUGGGUGGCAGCUGUCUUAAUAUAUUUUAUUAAACUUAUUGAGCAAGUGAAAAUGCUUGUGUUAAUAUAAUAGACGAGAAGACCCUAGAAACUUGAAAAGGGUUUUGUUGGGGCGACAUGAUUACACAAAACUAAUCUUAUAGUACAUGACAUAUGUUUGCAUGAUUAAGUUACUCUAGGGAUAACAGCAUAAUUUUAAUAGCUUGUGACCUCGAUGUUGGACUAGGUAUUAUAUCCUUUAGACAAGGAUAUAAAAUGCUCUGUUCGAGCAGUUAUACCUACAU